CAGUCGCCGCGGUAAUACGUAGGGUGCGAGCGUUAAUCGGAAUUACUGGGCGUAAAGCGUGCGCAGGCGGUUGUGUAAGACAGGUGUGAAAUCCCCGGGCUUAACCUGGGAACUGCGCUUGUGACUGCACAGCUAGAGUAUGGCAGAGGGGGGUGGAAUUCCACGUGUAGCAGUGAAAUGCGUAGAGAUGUGGAGGAACACCGACGGCGAAGGCAGCCCCCUGGGCCAAUACUGACGCUCAUGCACGAAAGCGUGGGGAGCAAACAGGAUUAGAUACCCCCGUAGUCCCUGUCUCUUAUAC
rnacentral:rRNA from 1 species